AUUUAUGUUUGAUGUGAGUGCUCGAUUGGUUUGUCUAUUCAGGGUUUUUUUCAAAGGAUUUGAUAACACCUUAAUGAUAUCUUAUUUAUUAUAAUCAACAGCAUUACAGACCAGUAUCUCAGUUUAUCGUCUCAGCCGAACAAGAACUUUGCCAUUGCCAAAUGUUGACUUCCUGUCUGUCUCUUCCUGUCUUUCUCACAGCGAUUAGUACAGGAUGCACUGCAUGGUGGAGGAGACCCGUACCAGGCCGUGUACAACUACAUGCCUCGCAACGAGGAUGAGCUGGAGCUGAAGGAGGGGGACGUUGUAGACGUGAUGGAGAAAUGUGAUGAUGGCUGGUUUGUUGGGACCUCGCGAAGGAGCAAGUUGUUUGGAACCUUCCCAGGAAACUACGUGAAGCAGCUAUAAUGAUGAUUCCAGACUCCGCCCCUGGCUCCGCCCCUUCCUGUGACACUUCAGCGCCCUCAGCACAGCACCCGCAGGACACCACCUCCCAACACCGGCCCCUCCGAGGCCCUUUGCACAUUUAUGUGUUUGCGUGUACGUGUGGCUCGUCAGCUGCACACAGACAGAACAUUUAGCUCUAACUAGCCAUGUUUAAUGGAAAACUUCUAUAAAAUAAUUUUUUUUUUUUUUUAUCUUAUCUUUUUUUUAUCCUUAUUUUUCUAUGAUGGAGAACCCAAACUUUUUGCUCCAGUCAGUGACCUUUAACUUUUGAUGGAAAGAUAUCGAAGGAACUUUGCAAACAGUCAUUGAAAGGAAACGGCACCGCGUGAUGCUUCUGUAAGAUCACCACACACCACCUUUUUUAAUUUUUCUGCAGUAUGUCAAACCUAAAAACACUCGUUACAUUUCACUUCAGUGUUAAUUUACAAAUACUCCCAAAGACCUUCAGUGCAUUGUGUUGUAUAAACAGUAUUCCGUCGACAGGUCUGUUGUAUACGAACUGUGUUGAAGGGAUUGCAGCCAGUGUUUCAGGUAAAAGGAUGUUACUCUCCACACUGACAUGUGGAAAAGUGUGCAUGUUAGGCAUCGCCCAAUGUAAUGAUUGGUUGAUAAGAAUUUAGGAAUAUGAAAGACUAUCAAUUAUCAAUAUUAAGCAAUCAUUUCAAAAUCUGCGAAAAUAUCAUUGGCUCUGUUGCACAUGCUGUCUAAACCUAAUACAUUAGAUUCAAAGUAUAACAUUAGGAAACACGAAAAAUAUUUUCAACAUCUUCACACUAGGAUUAAUGCACUUUAAGGUCAUUUUAACACCAUGUUGCGUUUGUUUUAUCUAAAGUUUCACUUCAGAAUUCCCACACUACACUUUAAUAUGUGUAUUGGGCCUAGGGCUGGAUGGUUUUGAAAAGUGUAUGCAAAAAGGUUACCAACGUUUUAGGUAUUAUAUUUAUUAGAGGGUAAUUGUUGGUCAAAAUGUGUAUUAACACAAUUUUAGAAAGGAUGGAACAACAUGAUUUUCUAACAAUUGUCAACAGCAGGAAACCCUCAUUUGAAGGCUUGGUAUUUUCUUGUAAGGCAUCUGCCAGGAUAGGUGCUGAGUUACAAGUAACACAAAAGUUCAUGGGCUAUGAUCAUGCCAGGUGUAAUGAUGUUUUUAUGUUGAAUUAUUUAAGUCAGAUGAAGGAUGAGAUGGCAUUUUAUCAAAGACUUCAGUCAUGUUACUGCAGUUUUGUUUUUUAACCCUGUUGUAAGAGUGAAUGAGUCACUGUACUUAUUUAAUAUAUCGGAGGUUUCGAUCUUAGCUGGUCAUGCUCAGUGAAUAUGUUUAUUCUCAUGUUACGUUUCGCAUAUAGGAUGGACACUGACAACAAAACAAUUGUUAAAGCACCUUAAAAUAUUAUUUUAUUUUAUCAUUCAUUGUCCUUCACGUCACCCCCUGUCAUCCACUGUUUCAGCUGGUGUGAGAACACUGUGUGUGUGUGAGUGUGUGUGUCUGUGGUAUUUUUGUAAGCCUUUUGUAUGAGAGCUGUAAAAUGGCCAACAUCCACUUGCUUUAUAAAGUCAGCUUUUUUCUCACCCACCAUCAUAUUUGGUUUCUUCUUCUUCUUUCUUCACAUUAUUCGUCAGUGGUGCUAAUUUACGAUUUGUAUUAUUGUAGCUUGGCAUGUAGGCCUUUUUCUCUCCAGUUAUUUGUUGCGGCAGUGAUGUAAACUGAAGUUACUGUAGUUAGUGAGCAGAGUUGGGGAUUGCUGCCUUACGUCCAACUCACUAAUUUAAUAGCCAUGUAUACGUAAACCUCUUCCCAUGAUGCAAAGAAUUCAUUUAUGCAUAUGUAGUCUAGAAAACAUCAGGAAGUGUGCACAGAAUGAAACAGAGUUGAAACAUACAGUAAACCUCUCGUCUGCUUUGAUGCAACACAGGAUCACAUUUGGACUAAAGACAUGAAUUUGAAAAUGUUUAUACAUGUAAUGAAAUUGUCAAUCUGAUAUGUUGUUCAUGUUAAUAUCAAAUACAAUGCACACUCUUGGACCUAAGUAUUUCUACAAUAUCUUAGCAUAUGUUGGAUCGUUUUUUGGGGCUGUAUUGCUAAUAAAAUCCAGCUGGUAGAUGAA